UUUAUUUAUAGUUUUUAAUAAAGCUUGUAAUUAAAUUUUGGAAUAAUACUAUUCCACCACCAAAGGGGUGGAAUAGUUUAUCCACCGUUCUUCCUGGAUAAGAUAAUCGGGAGUAGCAAGUUUUGACCGAAAUUUUUUAUUCCAGUAAAAAACAUUACGUUUUGGCAGAAUAAUGGAGAUAACUUUAACAUUUUAUUCUCGAACGAACUGGCCUUAAAACAAAAACUCAAUUACACUCUUUCCUCUCUCUUUCUCUCUUUCUCUCUCUCUCUCUCUCUCUCUCUAAUU
rnacentral:lncRNA from 1 species